CCUACGGGGGGCAGCAGUGAGGAAUAUUGGUCAAUGGCCGGAAGGCUGAACCAGCCAUGCCGCGUGAAGGUCAGUGCCCCAUGGGCGUUAAACUUCUUUUGUGCGGGAGCAAUAAUGGUCACGUGUGGCCAGACGAGAGUACCGUACGAAUAAGCAUCGGCUAACUCCGAGCCAGCAGCCGCGGUAAUACGGGGGAUGCAAGCGUUAUCCGGAUUUAUUGGGUUUAAAGGGUGCGUAGGCUGUGAGGUAAGUCAGCGGUGAAAUGCCCCCGCUCAACGGGGUGAAGUGCCAUUGAUACUGCCUGGCUGGAAUGCGGAUGCCGUAGGAGGAAUGUGUGGUGUAGCGGUGAAAUGCAUAGAUAUCACACAGAACACCGAUUGCGAAGGCAUCUCACGAAUCCGCGAUUGACGCUGAUGCACGAAAGCGUGGGUAUCAAACAGGAUUAGAUACCCGGGUAGUC
rnacentral:rRNA from 1 species